rnacentral:rRNA from 1 species
GAUGAACGCUGGCGGCGUGCUUAACACAUGCAAGUCGAACGGGGAAGGCGGAGCUUGCUCUGCUGGAUCAGUGGCGAAAGGGUGAGUAACACGUGAGCAAUCUGCCCCUGACUCUGGGAUAAGCGCUGGAAACGGCGUCUAAUACUGGAUACGAGCUGCGAAGGCAUCUUCAGCAGCUGGAAAGAACUUCGGUCAGGGAUGAGCUCGCGGCCUAUCAGCUUGUUGGUGAGGUAACGGCUCACCAAGGCGUCGACGGGUAGCCGGCCUGAGAGGGUGACCGGCCACACUGGGACUGAGACACGGCCCAGACUCCUACGGGAGGCAGCAGUGGGGAAUAUUGCACAAUGGGCGAAAGCCUGAUGCAGCAACGCCGCGUGAGGGACGACGGCCUUCGGGUUGUAAACCUCUUUUAGCAGGGAAGAAGCGAAAGUGACGGUACCUGCAGAAAAAGCGCCGGCUAACUACGUG